ensembl:rRNA 5S_rRNA 5S ribosomal RNA
GUCUACAGCCAUGCUACCCUGAAUAAGCCCAACCACAUCUGAUCACGCAAGCUAAGCAGGGACGGGCCUGCUUAGGACUUGGAUGGGAGACCACUUAGGAAGACCAGGUGCUGUAGGCA